rnacentral:rRNA from 1 species
UACGGAGGGUGCAAGCGUUGUUCGGAAUUACUGGGCGUAAAGCGCGUGUAGGCGGUUGGGCAAGUCAGAUGUGAAAGCCUUCUGCUUAACAGAAGAAGUGCAUUUGAAACUACCCGGCUAGAGUACGAGAGAGGAGAGUGGAAUUCCCGGUGUAGAGGUGAAAUUCGUAGAUAUCGGGAGGAACACCAGUGGCGAAGGCGGCUCUCUGGCUCGAUACUGACGCUGAGACGCGAAAGCGUGGGGAG